CCUACGGGAGGCAGCAGUGGGGAAUAUUGCACAAUGGGCGAAAGCCUGAUGCAGCAACGCCGCGUGAAGGAAGACGGUUUUCGGAUUGUAAACUUCUAUCAAUAGGGAAGAAAGAAAUGACGGUACCUAAAUAAGAAGCCCCGGCUAACUACGUGCCAGCAGCCGCGGUAAUACGUAGGGGGCAAGCGUUAUCCGGAAUUACUGGGUGUAAAGGGAGAGUAGGCGGCAAGGUAAGCGAUAUGUGAAAGCCUUAGGCUUAACCAAAGGAUUGCAUAACGAACUAUCUAGCUAGAGUACAGGAGAGGAAAGCGGAAUUCCUAGUGUAGCGGUGAAAUGCGUAGAUAUUAGGAAGAACACCAGUGGCGAAGGCAGCAUACCGGCGCUCAACUGACGCUCAUGCACGAAAGUGUGGGUAUCGAACAGGAUUAGAUACCCCAGUAGUC
rnacentral:rRNA from 1 species